rnacentral:tmRNA from 1 species
GUCAAGGUCUCGACGGGGUUUUUGAAGCCGGAGAAGCAAGCCGUUGCAACACGUUAAUUGCAAACCUAAAAUUAAACGCUAACGAAAAUUUAGCUUACGCUGCCUAGUUUGCAGCUGUCUUUACCGGUGCACUCACACAUCGGAUAAAGGCAUCGACUAUGUGAGAAACGACAUAUACAAAGCUUUGAGUAUGUGGGCGUAUCAUGAAGCUACCAAAGUACGGAGGCUGUUAGUCGCCGCCGCAUAGAGGGAAUGUCAAAUGACUGACUAAGCUUGUAGAAGUACGGGGGAUGGGGCUUCGGACACGGGUUCGACUCCCGUCUGGUCCA